CCCAUAGAGCCCAUACAUCAGCCCCAUAGAGCCCCAUAGAGCCCCAGAAAUCCCAUAGAGCCCAUAGGUCUGCCCCAUAGAGCCCCAGAGAUCCCAUAGAGCACAGAGAUCUGCCCCAUAGAGCCCAUAGGUCUGCCCCAUAGAGCCCCAGAGAUCCCAUAGAGCACAGAGAUCUGCCCCAUAGAGCCCAUAGGUCUGCCCCAUAGAGCCCCAGAGAUCCCAUAGAGCCCAUAGGUCUGCCCCAUAGAGCCCCAGAGAGCCCCAGAGAGCCCCAUAGAUGCCAGAGAUCCCAUAGAUGCCAUACAGAGCAGACAUCUGCCCCACAAAGCCCAUAGGUCUGCCCCAUAGAGCCCCAUACAGCCCAUAGGUCUGCCCCAUAGAGCCCCAUAGAGCCCAUAGAGCCCAUACAUCUGUCCCACAGAGGACAGAGAGCCCAUAGGUCUGCCCCAUAGAGCCCCAUAGAGCCCAUAGAGCCCAUAGAAUCGCCCCAUAGAGCCCCAGAGAUCCCAUAGAGCCCAUACAUCUGUCCCACAGAGGACAGAGAGCCCAUAGGUCUGCCCCAUAGAGCCCCAUACGUCUGCCCCAUAGAGCCCCAUAGAGCCCAUACAUCUGUCCCACAGACGACAGAGAGCCCAUAGGUCUGCCCCAUAGAGCCCAUAGGUCUGCCCCAUAGAGCCCCAUAGAGCCCAUAGAGCACAGAAAUCUGCCCCAUAGAGCCCAUAGGUCUGCCCCAUAGAGCCCCAUAGAGCCCAUAGAGCCCAGAGAUCUGCCCCAUAGAGCCCCAUACAGCCCCAGAAAUCCCAUAGAUGCCAUACAGAGCAGACAUCUGCCCCAUAGAGCCCCAGAGAUCCCAUAGAGCCCAUAGGUCUGCCCCAUAGAGCCCCAGAGAUCCCAUAGAGCACAGAGAUCUGCCCCAUAGAGCCCCAUAGAUCUCCAUAGAGCACAGAGAUCUGCCCCAUAGAGCCCCAGAGAUCCCAUAGAGCACAGAGAUCUGCCCCAUAGAGCCCCAUAGAUCUCCAUAGAGCACAGAGAUCUGCCCCAUAGAGCCCCAGAGAUCCCAUAGAGCACAGACAUCUGCCCCAUAGAGCCCCAGAGAUCCCAUAGAGCACAGAGAUCUGCCCCAUAGAGCCCCAGAGAUCCCAUAGAGCACAGAGAUCUGCCCCAUAGAGCCCCAGAGAUCCCAUAGAGCACAGAGAUCUGCCCCACAGAACCCAUAGGUCUGCCCCAUAGAGCCCAUAGAGCACAGAGAUCUGCCCCAUAGAGCCCAUAGGUCUGCCCCAUAGAGCCCCAGAGAUCUCCAUAGAGCACAGAGAUCCCAUCCCCAGGAUGGCCCCACCCACUUCCGGCCACGCCCCCUUUAAGCCCCGCCUCCCCUGACCACACCCUCCUUCAGCCCUUCAACUCCCAUGGCCGCCAUUGGCCAACCCCAAUGGCUCCCAAUGGACCCUACAGACCCCACCCACUUCCGGCCCACCCACUUCGGGACCCACCCACUUCCGGCCACGCCCUCUUUAAGCCCCGCCUCUAUUGACCACACCGCCUUCAGCCCUUCAACCCCCAUGGACGCCAUUGGCCAACCACAAUGGCUCCCAAUGGACCCUACAGACCCCACCCACUUCCGGCUCCUCCCCUUCCGGGCCCUCCCACUUCCGGCCACGCCCACUUCAAGCCACGCCCCCUUUACUCCCUACCCCAAUGGAAGCCAUUGGCCAACCCAACCCAACGCCAACCCCAAUGGCUCCCAAUGGAUCCUACAGACCCCUCCCACUUCCGGCCCACCCACUUCCGGCCACGCCCUCUUUAAGCCCCGCCUCCCCGACCACACCCUCCUUCAGCCCUUCAACUCUCAUGGACGCCAUUGGCCAACCCCAAUGGCUCCCAAUGGACCCUACAGACCUCACCCACUUCCGACUUCUCACCUUCCGGGACUUCCCACUUCCGGUCACGCCCACUUUAAGCCCCGCCUCCUUUACGACCGAUGCCAUUGGCCCACCCAAUGGAUGCCAUUGGCCAACCCAACGUCACCGACCCAACAGACCCGACAACCACACCCCCAACCCACUUCCGGCCCCUCCCACUUCCGGCCACGCCCCCUUUAAGCCCCGCCUCCCCGACCACACCCUCCUUCAGCCCUUCAAUUCCCAUGGACGCCAUUGGCCAACCCCAAUGGCUCCCAAUGGACCCUACAGACCCCUCCCACUUCUGGCACCUCCCACUUCCGGCCACGCCCACUUUAAGCCCCGCCUCCUUUACGGCGGAUGCCAUUGGCCCACCCAAUGGACGCCAUUGGCCAACCCAACACCACCGACCCCAAUAGACCCUACAGACCCCUCCCACUUCCGGCUCCUCCCCUUCCUGGACCUCCCACUUCCGGCCACGCCCACUUCAAGCCACGCCCCCUUUACUCCCUACCCCAAUGGAAGCCAUUGGCCAACCCAACACCACCGACCCAACAGACCCUAC
ensembl:lncRNA